CGUCACCGCCGGCUUUAUCAGGAGCCGAGCUCGGGGAGCGAAGGAGAUGCUGCUGCCCGGACUGUCCGCGCUGCCCCCUGUGCUGGGCUCCGUGCUGCCCCCGGGGGAGGAGGGGGAGGGGGCCGGCUUCCAGGUGGUGCGCUGGGAAUGGCACACUGUGCAGGCUCCCUAUCUGGUGGCUGUCUGGAUCCUGGUGGCCAGCCUGGCCAAGAUCGGUGAGCUAUAUGUACUAAGAGAUCGGUGAGAUCAUCCCCACCAUCAACCUCACCAUCAUCAACCUCACCAUCAUCAACCUCACCAUCAAAAUCACCAUCAUCAACCUCACCAUCAAAAUCACCAUCAUCAACCUCAACAUCAAAAUCACCAUCAUCAACCUCAACAUCAAAAUCACCAUCAUCAACCUCACCAUCAAAAUCACCAUCAUCAACCUCACCAUCAAAAUCACCAUCAUCAACCUCAACAUCAAAAUCACCAUCAUCAACCUCACCAUCAAAAUCACCAUCAUCAACCUCAACAUCAAAAUCACCAUCAUCAACCUCAACAUCAAAAUCACCAUCAUCAACCUCACCAUCAUCAACCUCACCAUCAUCAACCUCACCAUCAAAAUCACCAUCAUCAACCUCACCAUCAAAAUCACCAUCAUCAACCUCACCAUCAAAAUCACCAUCAUCAACCUCAACAUCAAAAUCACCAUCAUCAACCUCACCAUCAAAAUCACCAUCAUCAACCUCAACAUCAAAAUCACCAUCAUCAACCUCAACAUCAAAAUCACCAUCAUCAACCUCACCAUCAUCAAAGUCACCAUCAUCAACCUCACCAUCAAAAUCACCAUCAUCAACCUCACCAUCAAAAUCACCAUCAUCAACCUCAUCAUCAACCUCACUAUCACCAUCAACCUCACCACCAUCAUCAACCUCACCAUCCUCAACCUCACCACCAUCAUCACCAUCAUCAACCUCACCAUCAUCUAUAUCAUACCAUUACUGUGCACCAUCACCAUCUAUAUCAUACCAUUACUGUGCACCAUCACCAUCUAUAACAUACCAUUACUGUGCACCAUCACCAUCUAUAUCAUGCCAUUACUGUGUACCGCCACAAUCUAUAUCAUACCAUUACUGUGUACCGCCACAAUCUAUAUCAUACCAUUACUGUGUACCGCCACCAUCUAUAUCAUACCAUUACUCUGCACCGCCACCAUCUAUAUCAUACCAUUACUGUGCACCAUCACCAUCUAUAUCAUACCAUUAUUGUGCAUCGCCACCAUCUAUAUCAUACCAUUACUGUGCACCAUCACCAUCUAUAUCAUACCAUUAUUGUGCAUCGCCACCAUCUAUAUCAUACCAUUACUGUGCACCAUCACCAUCUAUAUCAUACCAUUAUUGUGCAUCGCCACCAUCUAUAUCCUACCAUUACUGUGCAUCGCCACCAUCUAUAUCAUACCAUUAUUGUGCAUCGCCACCAUCUAUAUCCUACCAUUACUGUGCAUCGCCACCAUCUAUAUCCUACCAUUACUGUGCAUCGCCAACAUCUAUAUCAUACCAUUACUGUGCACCGCCACCAUCUAUAUCAUACCAUUACUGUGCAUUGCCACCAUCUAUAUCAUACCAUUACUGUGCAUCGCCACCAUCUAUAUCAUACCAUUACUGUGCACCAUCACCAUCUAUAUCAUACCAUUACUGUGCAUCACCACCAUCUAUAUCAUACCAUUACUGUGCAUCGCCACCAUCUAUAUCAUACCAUUACUGUGCAUCGCCACCAUCUAUAUCAUACCAUUACUGUGCAUCACCACCAUCUAUAUCAUACCAUUACUGUGCAUCGCCACCAUCUAUAUCAUACCAUUACUGUGCAUCGCCACCAUCUAUAUCAUACCAUUACUGUGCACCAUCACCAUCUAUAUCAUACCAUUACUCUGCACCGCCACCAUCUAUAUCAUACCAUUACUGUGCACCAUCACCAUCUAUAUCAUACCAUUACUGUGCAUCGCCACCAUCUAUAUCAUACCAUUACUGUGUACCGCCACAAUCUAUAUCAUACCAUUAUUGUGCAUCGCCACAAUCUAUAUCAUACCAUUACUGUGCAUCGCCACAAUCUAUAUCAUACCAUUACUGUGCAUCGCCACCAUCUAUAUCAUACCAUUACUGUGCACCAUCACCAUCUAUAUCAUACCAUUAUUGUGCAUCGCCACCAUCUAUAUCAUACCAUUACUGUGCACCAUCACCAUCUAUAUCAUACCAUUAUUGUGCAUCGCCACCAUCUAUAUCCUACCAUUACUGUGCAUCGCCACCAUCUAUAUCAUACCAUUACUGUGCACCGCCACCAUCUAUAUCAUACCAUUACUGUGCAUCGCCACCAUCUAUAUCAUACCAUUACUGUGCAUCGCCACCAUCUAUAUCCUACCAUUACUGUGCAUCGCCACCAUCUAUAUCAUACCAUUACUGUGCAUCACCAUCUAUAUCAUACCAUUACUGUGCAUCGCCACCAUCUAUAUCAUACCAUUACUGUGCAUCGCCACUAUCUAUAUCAUACCAUUACUGUGCAUCGCCACCAUCUAUAUCCUACCAUUACUGUGCAUCGCCACCAUCUAUAUCAUACCAUUACUGUGCACCAUCACCAUCUAUAUCAUACCAUUACUGUGCAUCGCCAACCAUCUAUAUCAUACCAUUACUGUGCAUCGCCACAAUCUAUAUCAUACCAUUACUGUGCAUCGCCACCAUCUAUAUCAUACCAUUACUGUGCACCAUCACCAUCUAUAUCAUACCAUUACUGUGCACCAUCACCAUCUAUAUCAUACCAUUACUGUGCAUCGCCACCAUCUAUAUCAUACCAUUACUGUGCAUCGCCACCAUCUAUAUCAUACCAUUACUGUGCAUCACCAUCUAUAUCAUACCAUUACUGUGCACCGCCACCAUCUAUAUCAUACCAUUACUGUGCAUCGCCACCAUCUAUACCAUACCAUUACUGUGCAUCGCCACCAUCUAUAUCAUACCAUUACUGUGCAUCAACUGUAUGACUCCGUACAUCCCUUGUCAUACUCUGUACUGUGCACAGCUCUGUGGGGUGAAUCACUCUACCUGCUCUGUUGUAAUACAUGCUUUAUUCAGAAGUUGCUGAACUGGGGGAGGGGGUUGUUUAUUUCACAUUAUGUUUCAGGGUAUACAGAAUGUUCUCCGGGUCUUGGUAUUUUGCAUGUUUUCACUUAAUAACUUUUCCUUUCUCACUCUGUAUAGUGCAUUCUCAAUCUCUGUGUUGUCCCCCCCUUACAAUGCCUCUCUCACUGCUUUAUCUAUAAAUCCUUGCUGUCACAUGUGCUUUAAUCAUGAGUGCAUUUAUCGUGUCUCAUAGUUUAACGAACAUGAAUUAAUGUAACAAAUGGUUUUCAGGUUUCAUGUGUAUAUGUUAAUAGAACUAAAUGACAUAAUGUAAGUGCACUGUAUGUGAAUAUACAUGGUGUGUAUAGCACCCUGAAAGCACCAGCUCUGUAUUUGUGAGCUCACCAGGUCCGAUGCAGGGCUCUGCUCGUUGAUGGAGAGUGCUCAGCUGAUGCCCUUUGCCAGUGAGAGAAGCCCUGCAUGGCCCUUGGUUAUCUCAAUGGAGCUAACCGGAUUCUCUGUAAGAGAAAUCAGACGCAAGUGUUCUUAAAUAGUUUGACAAGGGCACUGCUAGCACCAUAAUCACUAUAGUGCCCCAUCGUGCCCCAUCGUGCCCCAUCGUGCUUGGAGUGGGUGUUUUUCAGUGUUUUGUGUCGAGGAAUAUGAAGUUUUCUUCUUAAUGUGUACCUCACAUGAAUACUUCAAAUGAGAGGGGAGCUCUAAGCAAUAGAGCGCAUCGCACUCUCACGCUUUGGGAGCAUGCUUAUACUAACUAGGCCCCAAAAUAUAUAAAUUAAGUUCAGCCCAAGGCACAUUGCCCUGUUGUUCCUAAUGUCCCAAUAUUGCAUACCUUUCUUUGUGUAUUGUUUUUUGAUAUGGACCCGGCUUUAUCUUGUCUUCUCUUGUUUCCUUGGUUCCCUUAACUCCGCUCUUUUUUUCAUUGUUGGAAUUUUUUGGCUUCCUUUGACCUUGGAUUGUUUUGACGUUACUAUUCUUCCUUUCAUUUACUCUUUCUAUCCGGCCAGUCUAAUGUCUUAUUAAGAGACCUUUUCUCUAUCUCUAUCUCUCUGGAGGGUUUACAUCCUCUGCUCCCUUACCCUCAAUAUACCAUCUCUCCAGAAUAUCCUCCUCUGCUCUCUUACCCUCAAUAUACCAUCUCUCCAGAAUAUCCUCCUCUGCUCUCUUACCCUCAAUAUACCAUCUCUAUACCAUCUCUCCAGAAUAUCCUCCUCUGCUCCCGUACCCUCAAUAUACCAUCUCUCCAGCAUAUCCUCCUCUGCUCCCAUACCUGCACUGUACCAUCUCUCCAUAACAUCGCCAUCUGCUUCCUUACCCUCAAUAUACCAUCUUUCCAGAAUAUCCUCCUCUGCUCCCGUACCCUCAAUAUACCAUCUCUCCAGAAUAUCCUCCUCUGCUCCCGUACCCUCAAUAUACCAUCUCUCCAGCAUAUCCUCCUCUGCUCCCAUACCUGCACUGUACCAUCUCUCCAUAACAUCGCCAUCUGCUUCCUUACCCUCAAUAUACCAUCUUUCCAGAAUAUCCUCCUCUGCUCCCGUACCCUCAAUAUACCAUCUCUCCAGAAUAUCCUCCUCUGCUCCCGUACCCUCAAUAUACCAUCUCUCCAGCAUAUCCUCCUCUGCUCCCAUACCUGCACUGUACCAUCUCUCCAUAACAUCGCCAUCUGCUUCCUUACCCUCAAUAUACCAUAUUUCCAGAAUAUCCUCCUCUGCUCCCGUACCCUCAAUAUCCCAUCUCUCCAGAAUAUCCUCCUCUGCACCCGUACAAGCACUGUACCAUCUCUCUAGAAUAUCGCCAUCUGCCUCCGUACCCACGCACUUUACUAUCUCUCCAGAAUAUCACCACCUGUUCCCGUACCCAUGCACUGUACCAUCUCUCCAGAAUAUCGCCAUCUGCUCCUGUACCCGCGCACUGUAACAUCUCUCCAUCUCUAUUAUACACACAGAUCCAUUACUGGGAGUAUUAUUGCUGUGGAGCUCUGUUAUACUCUCAGACACAUUACUGGGAGUAUUAUUGCUGUGGAGCUCUGUUAUACUCUCAGACACAUUACUGGGAGUAUUAUUGCUGUGGAGCUCUGUUAUACUCUCAGACACAUACUGGGAGUAUUAUUGCUGUGGAGCUCUGUUAUACACUCAGACACAUUACUGGGAGUAUUAUUGCUGUGGAGCUCUGUUAUACACUCAGACACAUUACUGGGAGUAUUAUUGCUGUGGAGCUCUGUUAUACACUCAGACACAUUUCUGGGAGUAUUAUUGCUGUGGAACUUUAUUAUACUCAGACACACCAACAAUAUGGAGAUCAUAGGAAAAAAGACAAACAGAGGAAUUUGGGUCCAUAAUGCCCUUCCUAAAUUGGGACACUUGGGAGUUAUAUUAAAGCACUGCCUUGAACUGUAACUUUGUCACUGAAUUGCUCUCUGUCUAUGUCCUUGCUCCAAGGCUAACAUCUGUCUUCCACAUUAUGCAGGCCUACAUGCAUGUGGCAGCAUGUCUGUGUAAUGGUAAAUAUGGAGAAAAUUCAGAAAAAAUGGCCAAGCUGUGACAGUAUCAGUUAGAGACAACAUUUACCAAUUAGGUGUUUUUUUUUUUUUGUUCUUUCAAUUUACUGUUUAGAUAGCACACCCCUCAGUGCAUGUUCUGAAUUCUGUAUUUGAACUGUUGCAGAGAAUGUUGCAUUGUUAGUAUCUAUUUAUUCUGAGAUGAGAAAUGUGCCCAGUCAAAGAUUACAGCAGAGUUGUCACUUCUCUGGUAGUGAGUUUGUACUCCAAUAAACACCAUUAUUAGUAGGAUUUACUGGGUGUAUUAUACAGAACAGGUGUUUUAUAUCCACAUGUACAUUUCCUUAGUAGGUGUGCAUGGUGUACCUGGCGCCGUGUGCAAAGUGAAAAUAUUGUGGGAUUUUAAAGAAAUAAAUAGCACAAUGAAUGCUAGCUUAUCGCGGCAGUCCCACUUUAAUCAGCCCUGCAUUCUGUGAAACUUCAAGCCAUCUAUCAAUCACUCUGUGAAUUUAUAUGGAGCAUACACAGAGUGAGCCUCAGGUUAUAGGUAACCUAUAACCUACCUUCUGUGAAACACAAGGUAGGUUGCAUUAAUAAAGCGAGCUGUAGGUGGACGCAACGCGAUGUUAGAAAGCGAGUGGGACACAGAGUUAUUUGUAUGAAUGGGAAAGGGCUUUUUAUGUAUCUGGAAAAGGUUUUAGUGCGCUACAAAGACUGUAAUGUGGUAAACAAGAUAUCCAGGUUUAUUUGCCCCAUUCAUUAAUUACAGUGAACAUUGUUUGCUGAAAUAGUCAAGCUAUGAAAGUGUCUGAGUGGUAGAAUUUGUAUAUUGUCUAUUAAGGCUGCAAUAUGCAGUAUCGCAGACAGUUCUCUACAAUUCCUGAUUAGGCAAUAACCUACAUAGUGAGGAUGUGAAUGCCACUCCAGGGUUUUGUGUGUCUGGAUGGUGAAAAAAUCAUCCUUUAUGGAUGCUCUGAGUCUGUUUCAGGUAAUGAGUGCUCAUGUUGGAGUGAGGAGGCAGGAUUAGGCACUGCGGGCAGAUAGACUAACUUGCUAGGAGACAUUAGUAGGAAACUGAACCUCGGUAGAACAAUCAUCAUGAACUGGCAGUACUGAAAGGAAAGGUUUAACACUAUAUCGUUGCUCUGUGAGACAGAGGGCAGGUAAGUAAACAAGGAGAAGGGCAGGAGGAUGCCUGUGUACCUGCAGGUGGCAUAGUGAAGAUCGUGUCCAAUAUCUUUACCUAAGUAAAAGUGGAAUGUAGAUUGCUAUAGAUAACUGGAGACUGAGUAUAUAGCUAAAACUUAACUUUUAAUGCUAUUCUUAAUAAAAAGAUGGGACUACUCCCCUGUUAUAAUCCUAAGGGAAGGUAUCACCUGAAAACCAAUGAAAAUAAAUCAAUCAACAGAAAAUAUGUAAUGUUAGUCAACGAAAUAGUAUCAGAGUAUAUUGAGUUCAGGUAUUCGUAUGUGAGCUUCCACUCAAUAUUAGUCGCUGGUGAGUGUGUGGAACUACCCUUUCUUUUAUUUAUAUAUUACACCAUUACUGUAUAUUUUUAUAUUAUUUUCUAUUGAGUAUACCAGCGCAAUUUUUGGUGUAGUGUCAGGCAAUUAGUUUCAUUUAUUGGUAGCGAUUCUCUGUGAGUGCACGUAUAUUUGUCUCUAUCUUAAGUCUGUCUUUGUAUAAAUUAUCCCAUUAGGUACUAAGAAUGAAUCUUCAUAGUAUUACUCAUAGGCUUGAUAGGAGAAUGAAUCUCCUGAAAGAUAGAGAUCCGGAGGAUACAGAUACGAUCCCGGUGAUUGAAACCAAUAUACAUAAAUUAUUCUUUGAGUUAGAAAAAACCCUGAAGUCAGAAAUGAGAGAUUGGUGGGAUAGUGCCCUUCUGAAAAAAUAUAUUGAUAAUAAAUUUAUUCCAAGAGGUCUCAGGUUUGAGAAACAACCCUUUUUUAAUGACAACACUCCAUUAGAACAGGAAUGGUUGGGGGCUCUAGAUACCUGUUCUUUUGUACUUAUGGAUAUCUUGGUCAGGUACAGAGAAUCUAGACUCCUUGACACAGAAAAGUCUAUUAAGGAAAUACAAGAACGGAUAGGUUCUGUACAGGAGCAAUCCUCUGUUAUUUCCAAUUUAGACGAGGCCACUAAUCAGAGACUUGUGGGUUUUGAGAAAGAUUAGAUUUUUCGUAAACAGAGUAAAUUUCAGAGAGAUAAACUUGAUUAUCAAAAUGGACAAAUUAGGAGCUGGCAACGUAAACGUGUCUCUAGGUCUACCCAAAAUAAUAAAAAUUAUCGAGAAAGAAACAAGGAGGGUAACAUCAUUUGCCCUUAUUCAUCCCCCGAUAGGGGCUUUAAAUCGAAGUCCAAAACUUAUGCUGAUAUUGUAAAAAAUCCCCGGUUUAGGAGGAGGUCUCCCUUCACCGUUAACAGGGGGAAGUCAGUUUCGAAAUACAAUAAUAAUAAAAAUCGUGGAGCAGUUUUACCACAUUAUAAAAAUAUUAACAACUAUGAUAAUCAUGAUCCACAAAAUCCCAAUCGGAUUCCAUUGGGAUUUAACCCCCAAUUUAAUAGAGCUAAGGAGGGUUUUAAAGUUGGGUCUGAUCUGACGUGUGCUCAAGGGGCUAGACCGAAAAAGAUAGACCGCAAUUGUCAGCCUGCUGGUGAUCAUUUGGAUGAUGAUUUUUUAGAAUCUCCCCCCUUCCAUCAAUUGGAAAAGGAGAAAACGUUUCCCCUAUUCAGACGCCCCCACAAAAAGAAGGGGAUCGAUGUGGAGGAUCAAAUGGAAGGGGUGAACAGUCCAGCCAAAGUGAGAUGCCUUUAAAUAAAGGCUUGUUUAAUUUAUCAACCCAUGAGUUAAGUAUUGGAGAAACUAUACUUCUAAAUAAAGGACUCAAAUAUGCUCCUGAUAGAUUACCCAAUAUAAUGGAUUUGUUUAAAGAUCUUAAUUAUUUUAUUAGAAAACUUACAUGCAUUAGAUUUUUUAAUCUUAGUGAUGCGAAGGGUAAAGAUAUUUGUCCUAAAUUUCUCAAUACUCCACAGGAUAAAAUUCUUUUUCAUGGUCUUGUCUCUUUACUAGAGGAACAAGAACAUCCAUACUGUAUGGAAGAUCCUAUUUAUAUAGUUGAAGCCAAUAUUCCAUCAGGGUUAAAACCUCCCUCUACUUUCUAUCCACAGGGUGAUAAAGGCCCUUAUUUACAAAUGUUUUAUGAAUUUGUCCUACGAGAUUUUAAGAUCCUCUGUAGUGAGUACAAAAGGAGAAAAGAUCGGGUUUGUAACAAUCUGGAGCCAUUUGAGAUAGCGAUUGCCAGUUUUAAAAAAUAACUGUAAUCUCAUUAUUAAAGGGGCGGAUAAGGGAGGGGGUAUUGUCUUGUUGGAUAAAGCUGAUUACCUACAGGAAGCUGAACGUAUAUUGGGGAAUACAGAAUACUAUGAGACCUUAGGGUUUGAUCCCACUAAGCGUUUUAGACGAGAAUUGAGAGAUCUCAUAGAUUUAGCAUUUCAACAUGGUGCUAUUGAUAAGAAAGAGAGAUUUUUUUUUCUUUCAGCUAAAGGGGAUAUUCCCAUUUUUUAUUACCUUCCCAAGGUACACAAAUCCCUUCAUAAUCCACCAGGGCGCCCCAUUAUAUCGGGGCUAGGCUCCCUUAUUGCACCCAUUUCUAAGUGGGUAGAUUUUCAUCUACAAAGAUUUGUCCCACAUUUACCGUCCUUUUUGAAGGAUACAGGGCAUGUUUUGUCUAUUGUUAAAGAAACUGAAUGGAGGGGACACUAUUGUUGGCUCACCAUUGAUGUGGCAGCCCUGUACUCAAAUAUAGAUCAUACUUUGGGCCUUAAAGCUCUUGCUUGGUAUUUGGAUUCAGAUCCUCUUCUUCCUGCUAAGCAGUCUGAAUUUAUUAUUGGGUUCACCGAUUUUAUGUUAAAGCACAAUUAUUUUGAAUUUAAUGGAAAGUUUUUCUUGCAAACAAAAGGAACUGCGAUGGGGGCGAGUUUUGCCCCGUCCUAUGCCAAUUUAUUUUUGGGUUUUUGGGAACAAUCUGUGAUUUUUUCAGACCAACUUUGGAUGGGGAGACUCGCCCUUUAUCGCAGGUUUAUUGACGACAUCCUUAUUAUCUGGAAGGGUGGUUGGGAUGAAGUAGAAGAUUUUAUGGCACAUAUUAAUGACAACCAAUGGGGUCUUUCUUUCACCUAUAAGAAACACAAAUCCAUCAUAGAGUUCUUGGAUCUUACCCUUAUUGGAACUACAAGUUCGAUUGUCACCAAAACCUUUCAAAAAAGUGUGGAUGUCAAUGGCUAUCUACAUGCCAUGAGUGGGCACCAUCCCACAUGGAUACAAAAUAUACCUUUGGGACAAUUUACCAGGAUCAGGCGUAACUGCUCCUAUGUGAGUGAUUACGAGAGAGAGUCACUGGUUUUGUCCCGACGUUUUGUAGAGAAAUCCUAUCCAUUGAACAAUAUUUUACAAGCCUAUUUAAAGGGCCAUCAUUAUGGUAUGGUAUCAAGUUCUGGUGUUCAGAAUGGGAUGGUUUCUGGGGUAAAAUCUCCUUUACCAUUCCUAUGUCCAGAACAAGAUCAUACAAAAGAACAUUUUAAGAUCCUUGAACUUUUGAAUUCUAGUAUUUUUUCAAAUAAAGCUAAAAGAGCGAAAUUUAACAUCAGCACCAAAGAGGUUGGUACAGGGAGAACACCUAUAUUCUCUACCACCUUUAAUAAGGGCUAUGAUGAUAUUAUUGAAAUACUCAACAAAUAUUGGCCUAUAUUGAUUAAAGAUCCUUGGUUGUCAUUCUGCGUGUCUGGGACCCCAAGGGUCACUUUUAGAAGGGCACCAAAUUUGAAGAAUAUUCUAGCCCCUUCGAAAUUACGUAGUCCAACUAUACUUCAUCAGACAACAGUUGUUAGUACUUUGGCUAAUAAACGUUGUGGUCACACCAGGUGUCUUACUUGUGGUUUUAUUUGCCCUCAUAUUUCUACCUUUAGUCCAUUUGACAGUACGGAGAUUUUUUCUAUACAAUCUUUGAUCUCUUGUAACACUUCUUUUGUGGUAUACCUCCUUAUUUGCCCUUGUGAACGGCAUUAUGUGGGCCAAACUAUUAGAUCUUUGAAAUGUAGAUUUCGGGAACACAGAACAGCUAUUAUACGUAAUGAUGGUAAAUCUUCGGUGGCCCGACAUUUCUCUAUCUUUCAUGAUAGUAAUCCUGUUGGUAUUAAGUUAGUGGGAAUAGUACAUAUUCCCCCCCAUCAGGAUGAAGCUAAACGGAGAAGGGAGCUCACUAAGGCUGAGUCCAUGUGGAUUUUUAAGCUCAACUCUAUGACUCCUAAUGGCCUCAAUGAGGAGUUGGAGUUGUUCUGAUCACUAUGGAUUCACCCUUUGUGGGUGGUAUGUCCUUUCUGGUAAUGUUAUGAGACCUAGGGUCUUUUUUACGACAAGUUAAUAGUAUACUUUGAAAUAAUAACAUGGUUUCUUUUCUACUUUUAAUGUACACUCAUAUUACUAUAUAUGUUGGUUGCCUGACCCUUUAUAUUAAGAUGUUAUACAUAUGUUAUAUUAUGUUUAUUUUAUUUUUAUGUAUAAAUUUUUUAUGUUAUUUUCUUUCUUAUUGUGAAUCCAGCCCUGGUUUUCCCCCUUUUUUUUUUUUUCUGCCGUGUGUGGGGUAUUUAUACCUGUUUGCUUACAUACUAUCUUUAGUCUUGAUAAAGUCCCGUGGGAGGGAUGAAACGCGUAGACAGGUUGUGUUCUGGACCUGCUGUUAUCUGAUUGCUGUUUUGGAGUGAAAGCUGGAAGCACAUAUCCAUUUUGGCGGUCUUUUCUUCAUUGGGCUCUGUUUGCUGGAUCUUACCUUUGAAGCUGUACCUUACGGUGUCUGGUUAUACUCCACCGCGGUCUUUUUCGAAGAUUCCGACCGCGGUGCAUCAGCUUAUGACCUCCAUGGAUAUUUAGUGUGCCGUAUUCCUCUUUUAUCACAUUUUUAGACUCUUUGCUCUCCUUUUUUUACCUCGGUGGGGGCCCACACCGAGGACAGGUACUGUGUCUAUAUAUUUUUACAUCAGAGUAUAUUCGCUAUUAUACUUGUGUUAGGGUUUGGGAUGGGGCAACACUAAGACACUUUGUUACUAUAUCUCCACAUUGAGUCUGGGUGUUGCUACCACUCAAUUUCCUCACUUAUUAGAGAGCUGUGUGGUUACAUUUGUUUCAGGAUAGCGAUAUUGUUUUUAUUUGUUAUAUAAUUGGUCCAGAUCAUAUUUUGUGUAUUUUGAUAAUUAUUUUUUAACUGUUUCUGAUGAAUAAACAGUGGUUUAUCUAUUCAUGAUUAUAAUUACUAUUUUUAUUCUAUGAUUGGGUAAGUGUCCACACUUUUACAGUUUGUGAGCUUCCACUCAAUAUUAGUCGCUGGUGAGUGUGUGAAACUACCCUUUCUUUUAUUUAUAUAUUACACCAUUACUGUAUAUUUUUACAGGUAUUCGUAUGCCAAACUAAUACAUAAAGUAGUAUUAUAUUGGUGGACAAUGAACACCCCAUUUAAUUAUAUAAUAUAGAUUUAUAUAAUAGAUCACUAGAAUAUUGAUCUAACCACUCAAAGCUCUGAUUAGUAACAUUCAGGCCGUGGAAUGUACUGUGUGUUAGGGCUAAUCCUAGGAUAACAAAGUUACACAGAUCAAAAUCUGUAUCAUCUAAUGCCUUUGGGAAUGGCUACAAAAGUAUAAAACAGAGUAUUGUUUAGUCUAAUAAUCAUAGUAGUAUAAUCCCCCUGUCGUGCCUUUUGAGGGAACCCCUUUACAAAAGCUGUUCCUGUGUAGCAAGCAAACACCUGCACAACGGAUACCCGUAUGAAAGGUAACUAGUAAUUGAACUAACGAUGUAGCUAGUUCCGUAUAAGCAGCUAGAAGUCAUGGAUUAAACAAUGCGAGCGUCCGUCUGGUAUCUUGGUCAACAUGUAAUUAAGUGGAGCUGUUUGCUUGCCUGAAUCCCUGACACGAGUUUCACCUUUUGGCUCAUCAGAGGGAAACCGGACUUCGGAAGUGUCCAGUAUUUAAAUUGGUAUAUUGAUCCUGAUUGGAUCAGGUGAUUUUAAAUGGACCAAUCCCUACUCAGGAAAGAAAAUCAUGAAAAAAAUCUUAUUACUAAAAUCAACAACUAAGAGAAUUACGAAAUGAGUAAGUUGCUAAUGCCUUAUGUUAACAACUAUAGUUGUAGUUAUAGAGACUUAAGGAAAAUUGUUUAUUGUACAUGGAUUUGAUACCAGGAAUAUAUUGAUCGCCAUCAGUGUUUAAGCGAAUCAAUUCAUUACAUUUGUAAUGGAUCACCUGGCACCCAGACUGGGUACCACCGUUGACGGAUGUUCCUAGUGCUUCCUGAGGGCACCAAGCACUCCACUAGACACCAUAACCACCGCAGACCCCACAAACUACCGCAGCUUGGUUGGGGUCUCGCCGUCUUCCACCCACACUGGACCCAAGACCAGGAUCCAGCUUCCAGUAGGUAGACCUCUCUUAAUCCAGAGAGCAGGAACAGGAAAAAGCUCUUACAAGAGCUUAGUGAUUAUACUCUGUGGAGUAUAGUGAUUAUAGCAAUCCCCAAUCCCCCAAACAUGAGCCGAAACAUCAUGAAGGGUAGAGCAAGUCUGAGGCUUUAUUGGUACAGGUUUGCUUAUAUACAAUUCCUCAGGCCAGAGGCACAAUGUCCGACACUCCCACUUACAGCACACAAUCCCUCCCCUCUGCCCGUGAUACAAUUAACUAAGACAAUGGGCUAACUCAAUUAACUCUAAGCAGAAAAAACUAAUUUUUACAAACCCCAAAAUACAACAUAUCCCCACAAAAGUCCCCACAUCCCCUGAUAGCCCGAUCUGGGUGAACAACAUAUCCAAAAAUCACCCAGAUCGGUUCAGGGGUUCAGGAAUUUCCUGGAAGUCUUAUUUUUGCCCCACCGUGCACAUGGUCCCAUGCUCAAAACAAUUCCAUACACUCAACGACAAAACACUGCUGGACAGUUUAAGAUGGCCGCCGCUACAUGUUUGAAUCUGUUCCAGUUAAAAGUCCAAGGGGCAGAAACAGUACUUUUGAACAUUGGUUAUCACAGGGCCCAUAGUCCCAGGGUAGGAGGCUGGCACACAGGCCCCUCCAAAAACCAGUGGCGAAGUGGAUUUCGUCACAACAUUACACCCUGUUCCAAAUUAUUAUGCAAAUUAUAUUUUUCUCAUUUACCUAAAUAAUUGAUGUAAAUAACAGCAUAAUUCUCAUAUUAUCAACUAUUAAGAGUACAAUUACCAGAUUUUACUAAUUACAUGACGUAAAGUCUAGCUGUCGGAAGGUUAAGACUGGUCGAGUCAACGUCCUCCGGAUUUGCUUCUUGAUAAGUUUUACUUUCGCGGUAGGUAAACUGAGUGUUCCGUGCAUUGCGUCUAUAUCGAAGCCCAGAAACUCUAUCGAGUGGGAAGGUUGCAGGAUCGAUUUGUCCCAAUUGAUUAGGAAACCCAGGUUUUGCAGAAGGAUCAACACCCAGGAUAGAUGUUGGUUCAGUAGCUGGGUGUCCUGGGCCAUGAUCAGCAUGUCGUCGAGGUAUAUGAUCAGACGUACACCUCUGCUGCGAAGGAGGGCGACUACCGGUUUCAGCAGCUUGGUGAAGCACCACGGGGCUGAAGACAGGCCGAAAGGGAGGCAGCGGAAACGCCACAUCGUCUGUUCCCAUUGGAAUUGAAGUAGGUGUUGACAGUCCUCGGCAAUCGGUAUCGUGAGGCAUGCAUCUUGGAGGUCCAAUUUUACCAUCCAGUCUCCCAGUCUUAGCAGGUCUUGGAGGCAGUGUAUCCCUUCCAUCUUGAAGUGAUAGUAUGUGACAAAGGCGUUGAGAGGCCGCAAGUUUAUUACUGGCCUCGUGCCCCCACCUUUCUUGGAUACUAGGAAGAUGUUGCUUAGGAACCCGGGGGCGGUAAUUGGAACCUUGUAUAUCGCACAUUUCUCCUCUAGUGUGCGAAUCUCUUUUGACACCAGAUGUUUGUCUCGUGGGGAAAAAACAAUCCCAUGUGGCAAUGAGAGUUGAAUCGGUUGUUGUGUGAAUUCGAUGUGGUAGCCGAGGAUGGUCUCUAGGACCCAGGCAUCUGAGGUUAGGUUGUGCCAAGCAUCCUGGAAAUGAAACAAUCUGCCCCCCACGUGUACCAAGGGAAGGGUGUGUAAUGGGAAAUGACUCACCAUAAGGCCGACGGCCAUAGGAGGAUCCCCUGGUUCCAUGUGGGUGCCACGACCUGCCCCUGGUCGGGAAGAAUGGUGACUGUGCCCUUGGUUCGGGCGGAUGGAACCGUGUUGUGGCGGAGCCUCGAUAGCCCCGGAACGGAGUCCGGGAGGGGCGGCCGGACAGACGGCCCCGCUGUCUGCCGGCCCCACCGAAAACCUUUUGCGAGAACACUCGCUUCAUAUUAUGUUGUGCCUUAUCUAGUGCCGUAAAUGUGUUGACAUAGUUGCCCAGGGUUUUAACAAAGUCGUCUCCGAAUAAGAGACCUUUUGCCUGUGUGCCAGGCUCGGAGAUUGCCAAAUGUACAAAUUUUGGCUCAAUUUUCAUUAAUAUGGCUUUACGCCGUUCUGUGGCCAAAGCGGUGUUGGCAUUUCCAAUUAGGCAUAUGCCUCUCUGAAUCCAUCCUCUGAUGGCUAUUAAGUCAAUUGAGGUCCCCCCAGUAAGGGCCACUUCGACCAUAUCGAAGAUUUUAGCUAUAGGCCCGAGUAUGUCCAGGAUCUUGUCUUGGCAGUGCUUUAGGGAGUAGUCCAAACCCUUUUUGGCCCUCCUUCCUGACUUACCCAGAAACUGAGCGAUCUUGGGGUCCACCUCAGGGGUCACGCAGGCCAUGUCUGGGACAGUGGGGCGUGGGCAUUCCGCCCUCAGCUUGUUUCUUGUGGCCUUGUCGAGGGGUUUUCUGACCCUGGUCGCAAUGUAAAUGGCCACAUGAGUUGUGGGGUACCAAUCCGCUGAACGCGGAUUAUGCAAGGUGUCAGGAUCAAAAAGGGGUUCCCCUUGGGGAUCUAACACAGCGGAUUCAUCCGUCUCGUGCUCAGCGUCUAGCGCUGGAGGCGCGGUUUCGCCGCGUUCGGGGGACGAAUUAUCUGAAAAGAUUGGGUCGAUGUUAUCGGACCCAUCUGACACCUCCUCUGAGUCCGAAUCGGAGUCGGACAAAUCAGAUAGGGCUUUUGCCCUCUUCCAAGUCCGCACCGUUUUUGCCCGGCGGGGGGCUCUUUUACGUGGGAGCACCACGUCAUCAGUCUCAACAGGGCGCAACCUGUCCGUCUUACUGGUUUUUACUGGGAUUCCUGGGAGCGUCCCCCACCCGGUGGGAAGUUGAGAGAAAAACGGGUUAUAAACAACCCGAAACGGCAGUGCAGGAUGGGGCUUGCCUCAGGGUAGAGGCAAGUACCCUGCACUGAGGACAGUUUGAAGAACACAAGUUGUAAGCAAAAUUGAUAGAAAAAAAUAAUAUAUAGAAAAAUAAUAUAUAGAUAACAAUAUUAAACCAUAAGAAAAUUAAACACAGUUAACAUAACACAAUUUUUUGUGGAGCUGAAAAAUUAUGUGGUACUUAGCUGAGGCAGCAGCAAAGAAAGAGGAAGUAGCUUAGGUCACAUGAGGGGAUAUAGUACAAGGACUGAUCCUAUUGGUUAAUGUAUAUGGAAUGUUAUAUGGUUAUCCCUUAAGGGUAUUUGUUUUUUCUUGUUAUUGCUAUAUUGAAAAUAUCAAUAUCCUUUCUUUGCUGCUGAGGAAUAAAGAAAGAGAUAAAGCCUAAUAGGAGCCUCCGUGUCCUUUAAUAAAAUUCAAAUUUUAUUGAACAAACCUCCUAAUGAUAACAGUAUUUUUUUAAACAUAAACUUACAAUGCACUGUUCCAAAUUAUUAUGCACAGUAAGUUUCAAAACACUUUAUAGGUUGUAAAGAACUGAAAAUUGUCAUUUGUUGUGUUUGCAGCAUAUUUAUUGAAAUCAAAAGCUAUUUCAAUCAAACUUAUAACAACAUUUUAACUUUUUAAACAUUUUAACAGGUCACAUUACAUUUUAACAUAGGACCCCUUAUUUGAAAGCUGCUUCACAAGUCUUGCAUCCUUUGAACUUGUGAGUUUUUGGACAGUUUCUGCUUGAAUUUGUUUUCAAGAUGUCAGAAUAGCCUCCCAGAGCUGCUGUUUGGAUGUAAACUGCCUCCCACCCUCAUAGAUCUUUUGCUUGAGGAUGCUCCAAAGGUUCUCAAUAGGAUUUAGGUCAGGGGAGGAUGGAGGCCACACCGUGACUUUCUCUCGUUUUAUCCCCAUAGCAGCCAUUGAUGCAGAGGUAUUCUUUGCAGCAUGAGAUGGUGCACUGUCAUGCAUGAAGAGAUUUUAUUAAGGAAAACAUAGUUCUUCCUUCUGUACCAGGGAAGAAAGUGGUCAGUCAGAAACUCCACAUACUUUGAAUAGGUUAAAGGGACCGACCAGCUCUCUUCCCAUGAUUCCGGCCCAAAACAUGACUCCACCUCUGCCUUGCUGAUGUCGCAGCCUUGUUGGAACAGGGUGGCUGUCCACCAACCAUCCACUACUCCAUCCAUCUGGGUUGCACGGCACUCAUCAGUGAACAGGACUGUUUGAAAAUUAGUCUUCAUGUAUUUUUCUGCCCAAUGCAGCCAUUUCUGCUUGUGAGCAUUGGUUAAUGGUGGCCAAAUAGAAGGUUUAUGCACAGUUGCAAGACUCUGGAGGACUCUACACCUUGAUGUCCGUUGGACUCCAGAGGCACCAGCAGCUUCAAAUAUCUGUUUGCUGCUAUGUAAUGGUAUUUUAGCAGCUGCUCUCUUGAUCCGAUGCAUGGAUCUGGCAGAGAUCUUCCUCAAUGUGCUUUUAUCUGCACGAACCCGUCUGUGCUCUGAAUCAGCCACAAAUCUCUUAAUAGUGCGAUGAUUACGCUUACGUUUUCGUGAAAUAUCUAAUGUUUUCAUACCUCGUCCAAGGCAUUGAACUAUUUCACUCUUUUCGGCAGCAGAGAGAUCCUUUUUCUUCCCCAUAUUGCAUGAAAAUGGUGCUCUGCUUAAUAAUGUGGAACACCCUCCUUUAGUAGUUUUUCCUUAAAUUGGGCUCACCUGGCAAUCUAAUUAUCACAGGUGUCCAAGAUUGUUUUCAGUGAUCAAAAGAGCCCUGAGACACAAUACCAUCCAUGAGUUAAACCGAAAAACAAAAUAUUUAAUUUUUGUGACACUUAAAUAGAAUUUGCAUAAUAAUUUGGAACAAAGUGUAUAUAGGAUAAACAUUCAAUAGUGGACUUGUAAGUUUAGAGGUCAUUAUUGUGUAUUAGCUAUCUACUCCAAAGGAGUGCAUAUCGAGUCCAGUGGAAUGAUAGUAAAUUACACUAGUGGGUUAUACUUAAAUACUGUUACUGAAUAUUUGUUUUGGUGUUAGUAAUAUAUUAAUUUAUCCUUCAAUUGCGGUGUACAUGUCCAUAGUGCAUAGUCUGUUUUGAGAAUACUUUAUUCCUACAGUGUAAAAUGGUCACUUUUAUUAUGCUUCAGGUAUUUUUCGUAAUGUCCUCAGCUAUAAUGUUAUGCCAGCAUGGCAUAAUUUCCUGAUCUGUCAAACCAAAUCACCAAAUUAAUAUAUAUAUUACAGAAGGUUCAUCUACAUUAAAAGGUAUUUAUUAGAAGGCAACAACACAAUACUAUAAAUUUAUCACAAACACACAGCCCAGACCCACGGAGCAACAACCCUUUUUAAAUCUAUCUAUCUAUAUAGUAAUCCCCUUCCCCACACGUUUGAUCUCACCCACGGUUAGGCAUUCACAUCUAGUAAUGGCUUACUGCUGCAAGUUCAACAUCACAUCCACCAAGGAAGAAAAGGGAGCAACAGAGUGUAACAUGGUUCACCAUGCUAGCACAUGGCGUCUGCUCUGUAGCACAGCCAAGAAGGAACAGAGAGGAAUGGAGAUAGGGGGAAGUGGUUAUCUCUCUCCUGACUUGUAAAGGUAUUGAAUUACCCAAUUACCAUAUCAAAGGGUAAAGCUUAUCCCCCUGUAAGAAAGGCAUACAUGAGCUUGGUCACAUGACCCCUGGUCACCAUAUUAGUUUGAUGAGAGAAUGUCACCACAAUAGGGAGAUAUGUUCAGUAGAUAAUAUGAAAUCAAAGAGAUUAAUUUUGUUUUCUUCAUGCUGAUUAAUGUCUUUUAUUUCCUGUAACUGAACUAUUCUAGUUUGUACCCCAUCUCCUUCUGUCCCUUAGACAGUCUCUUUGUGAAUGCAGGUAAGUGUACAGUUCAGCAAUGCAAGAGAGGGGUAACUGGCAGACAGAGAGCAAGCGGUACUGAAAGGAAAGUGUGACGAAGUGCCCUUCGCCACUUGUACCUGGAGAGGACUGCUUGCCCGCCUCUUGCCCUGUGACUAUGGCCCCUGGGAUGUAUUGCCCUUUAAAGACAUGAUUUGGGCAUAAUGGAUUUGUGUUGUGCUGCUGCUGGCCCUUUAGGAACCAUCUGGGGACAUACUGUGGAGUUACUGGAUGGCCACCAUUUCCUGUAUCAGAAGCACAUGGUGAGAACAAUGGAUGGAGGCCAUUUUAACUCACAGACACUGUUUGGACUUUUCAACACGGUGCCAUCUUGCCAGUAUUUGGUGCACAGAGACAUCGUGCAGUGGUUUUGGACCAUACAGCAGGGGACACAUUAUAAAGUGAUUGUUUUUCAUUUAGCCUGUAUAUGUUCUGCAGAAUCUGCAUUAAACUGUAUUUUCCAAAGUACUGAACGGAUCUGGGUGAAUUUUGGAUAUGUGGUUCACCCAGAUCCCCCGGUUCCAAGGAUAUACUUUUAUGGGGUUAUUGCAUGUUUUGGGGUCCCUGUGUGUUUUAUGAAACUGUAUUAUUUCUGGCCAGCAGAUAAUUGAGCUUUGUGUAUUGUAGAAACUCAAUUAUCUAGCCUGGCCCAGAGGAGGAGUUUUGUGUUGCAUAAAUUGUGAGUUCUGUGUGCCAGUAAAUCAGUCUUGUUCCAGCAUUAAGCCUUGGCUCAUGUUUGGGGGAAGGGAUACCUACACUCUGGGGAUUGCUAUAAUCACUUACUCCCCAGAGGAAGCUCUUGCAAUAGCUUGAUUUGUUCCUGUUCCUGCUCUCUGGGAAAAGAGAGGUUCACCCACUGGAAGCUGGAUCCUGGCCUUGGGUCCAGGGUGGGUGGAAACAGCAGAGACCCCGGCGCAGUUGCAUCGCUGGAAGUGGGGUCUGCAGUGCUGAUGGUGUCGGUUGGAGUGCUUGGAGUCCUCAGCGAACACUAGGAGCAUCGAUUGGCGGAGGUACUCAGUCGGAGUGCCAGCGUUCCGUCACAGAAAGGUUUAAUCAGUAUCAUCGCUCUGUAAGACAGAGAGCAGGUAAGUAUACAAUUCAGCGAUACAAGGAGGCCCUGGGCAAGAGAGGGGUAACUGGCAGAAGGAGAGCAAGCGAUACUGAAAGGAAAGGUUUAGGCAGUAUCAUCGCUCUGUGAGACAGAGCAGGUAAGUAUACAGUUCAGCGAUACAAGGAGGCCCUCGGCAAGAGAGGUGUGACUACAGCGAAGUUUCAGAAUUUGUCCAAAUUACUGACUUUAGCCUCAAUUUUAACCUUGAGAUUUAAUUUGCUACAAUGUGGUGUUUAGUAAAUAACCAAGUGUGAAUUUUCAUCACCCCAUAACGUGUUCUCUUUUUCUUUCAGCACGUAUGUUGUGCUGUUUCCAGUUAUUUUGGUAAAUUUCACUGUGACCGUGUUUCUCUCUCUGAGUACAAUUAAAGGGUCACUAUAGUCACCAAAACAACUUAAGCUUAAUGAAGCAGUUUUGGUGUAUAGAUCAUGCCCCUGCAGUCUCACUGCUCAAUCCUCUGCCAUUUAGGAGUUAAAUCCCUUUGUUUAUGAACCCUAGUCACACCUCCCUGCAUGUGACUUGCACAGCCUUCCUAAACACCUCCUGUAAAGAGUCAUCUAAUGUUUAUCCUUCCUUUAUUGCAAGUUCUGUUUAAUUUUAUGGCAAGACAGGAGGCUUCAUAUUUGCUUAUCUUUCUUUACUGUAACUCCCAGCAGCAAAGAAAUGGUUAACAAUGUUGUAUGGAAAAAUCAACCAAUCAUAACAUAUCUCAACUACAAUAUAGUGUCAUCAAACUCCUCCCACUUCCUCUUUCUUUGCUGCUUGCCUCCCAGGUGAGUCUGCUCCAAUUACAUUGCCUUACUGGUUUAAGUUAAUUCGAUAUUUUUUUAUUUACACCUUGUUACUGCAUACUCAGAAUUCAUCUUAAAAAAUUUAUUUUUUAAUUUAAUCACCUUUCCCUUUAAAUAUUUUCCUCUUUUUUCCUCACACAUAUUUUGUAUUUUUUCUUAUUUCACUGUUCUGUUAUUUUGAUUGCUUUUCCUUUAAAUUUAGGUGUCCUAACCGGUUCCUCUUUUAGUUCCAGUGCACGGAGGGUUUUUUCAAACCCUGCCGCUUUCAAUCAGCUGGCCGCGGCUCUAUUCUCUCAGGGAGAGCCGCGGCCCAUUCUCUGUCUCUCUUCAGCCGCGGACUCCAUUUCCCAGAGUCCGCGGCUGCUGUUUCCCGCCGUUACCUUCCUCCCGCCUACCAAAGGCGUCUCCUCUUUGACGCGGACCUUUUUCCCGCCCUUUCUACGACGGCGUUCUCGCGGCGGCCAUCUUAAGCCUUAGUAGUAACGGCCAACGGCUCCUCCACUGCGGCGCACAAAUUUUACAAUCAAGUGGGUACAGACCUUAUUAAUAGUUUGUGGAAGGUAGGUUUGCUGCCACCUUAUAUCUUCACCUUUUUCACAAGCUCAUUAAAAACGAUCUUUUUCUUAUCUAUCUCCUAUCUGUUUUUUCUCCACAGGCUUUGCCCAUUUUUUUUUACUAUCUGGGUGAACCCCUUUCUUUAAAUUGUAUAAUUACAGUGUGGUUUUUGUUUUUUGACCAAAUUUUGCUGUUUGACCAUUUUAUUUCCCUCAUGUGGGUGAACCCCACUUACUUAUCUAAAGUACAUAUUAUGUACAAUAUUUGUGUGGCUGACACCACCUACUGAAAACACUGCUGUGUAAAUAUUUAUGUGGCUAACACCACCUGAUUUAUUUUCUGUGGGUGACCCCCAUUACUUACUGUGCAUUAUAUAUACAUUAUAUAUAUUACUAGUGUAAUUUUAUAGUGUUGACCCCACCUCACUAAAUUUACAAGAUUUCUAGUACUCACAAUCUGUAUUAUUGGGUGACCCCCAUUAUUUGUCAUUUACUAAUUUAUUGUGCCAAGCAUUUGUGGGUGACCCCCAUUGAUUCUGACGUCUCGUGGGUGACCCCCACCUCAUAUUUUUCUAAUUGAGUUGCCUCAUCCUUAAUUGACACUCUAAUAGGGUUUACAUUUAUCUUGAAAUUGUCAUUAUGUCAGAUCGCCAAGACCCUGCGAUUUCUGCUGAACUUAAGGAAUGGCUUUUCUCAACCAUCGCAGAGUCCAUUCCUAAGGCUCUGGCAGCCUACCAUGAACGUAAUCCAGAGGUACACCCCUUUACACAACAGCCCUCUGAUUCUGAGGACUCCCAUAUUUCCGACCAAGAUAACGCCCCGCGCAAGAGACCCUGGAAAGGGAAUAGCGCUACUGCGGGCAAGGGCAAAGCUCCUGCUAAGGUCAUUAAACACUCUAAACCUUACGUUUCGCAGGAUGCUACAGACCUUCUAGAGGGUUCUACUUCACGUUUAUCUGGCCAUAUUCUAAGUGACUAUGACCCUAAUUACUCUGAUGAGGAUCCCAUGGUGAAUGUGCCCCAGGAUUCCUCAACAUCGGAGUUUGUGAAAGAAACCUUCCUAAGUCAAGAUCACAAGAGUAAGGUACCUGACUCAGACACCAUCCUGGAUGCUUCAGGCCUUCCCCUUUUUGACCCAAGGGUGAUACGCCACCCGCGCUCAGCAGAAUGGGCUCCCCCAGAUCAUAUUGCUAAUUUCUGUAAACUGUGGCUUCGCAAGCCUCUCGAAAAAGAAAUCAGAAACAAACUAAGGGCGAAUGCCCGAGACCAACUAUUCCAGGCAAAGUUGCCUCUACCCCUGAAUUUGACCCCAUGCUGGUCACCUAUUUAACAAAAUCUGGUAAAGACCCUCGUAAGGGUAUUGAACAGGGUUUGAAAGCAACCCAAGACAAAUUAUUGGACAUUUCAGGUCCUAUCAUACAAAUAUUCAUACUCGCAGAUGAGGCACUCACCAGCGGUGAACUUGAUCCGCACAUUAUAAGAGAAUGGGCACAGAGAGCCCUUUGCCUUUUGGGCAACGCCAAUACGGCUAUUUCAAUUGAGAGACGCAAAGCGGCACUGUACAAAAUCGAUGCCAAACUGGUGGAUUUGAGCACUAAAGAACUAGGCCCAGAGGCCGAUGGUCUUUUAUUUGGUAACAGUUUCAUGCGAGACCUCUCCAAGCAUGUCUCAGUUUUUACCACACUCAAUAAAGCCCAGUCCUCUCUACGUAGGGUGUUCCGUCCCACUUUUCAAAAUCGUUUUUCUGGGAGAGCUGGUCGCUCAAGGGGCCGAGCUACCAGUAGAGCAGCCUUUUCAGGCUACAGGCCCCGACCCACAGAGUAUUGGUCCACGGGAUACUCACGACCCUACCACAGGCAGCUGUUCGGCACCAGAGGCUCAAUUCGAGGACGUGGCUCUGCAUCCCUACGCGGACGCACUGCUUCAGGUAAUGGACCUUGCUUAUUUAAAAACUGUAUCAAUCGCAGGUCGAUUAACAUUUUUUUUCCCACAGUGGAAACUUCUUUCUCAGGAUCUUUGGAUCCUUCAUACAGUCACAGGUUUCAAAAUAGAUUUUAUCACACAUCCAGUUCAAUAUUCUCACCCGACACCCUUAGGGAUGUCAAAAGCAGAUACUCUAACCUUGAACACAGAACUGACAAAAUUGUUACACAAAGGGGCGAUCGAACCUUCGCCUUUCCCUUGCACCUUCCUCAAGAAUAUAUUUCUGGUUCGGAAGAAAAUGGGGGACCAUCGUCCCAUUAUCAACCUCAAGGCGUUGAAUCGCUUUAUCACAUACCGUCAUUUCAAGAUGGAAGGUAUCCAUCUUCUCAGGGACUUGCUCUGCAUGGGAGACUGGUUCUCCAGAUUCGACCUCAAAGAUGCUUAUCUGACGGUCCCUGUAGCACCAAGUCACCGUGCCUUCCUCCAAUUCCGUUGGCAAGGCGACAUUUGGCAGUUCACCUGCCUCCCUUUUGGACUUUGUUCUGCUCCAUGGUGUUUCACCAAGUUGAUGAAACCAGUCAUGGCGCUCCUUCGUUCUCAGGGCAUACGUUCAAUUAUAUAUUUGGACGAUAUCCUGAUCAUGGCACAAGAUCAGCAAUUACUUCGCAAACACACACACAUGACCUCUGCCCUCCUUCAAAACCUAGGUUUUGUCAUAAAUUACCAGAAAUCAGACCUGGUACCUUCUCAAAUAGUCCAAUUUUUGGGUUUUCAGAUAGAUUCAGUUCAAGCAACUCUACAAUUACCCUACUCCAAAAUCAAAAACAUAAAACGAGAGAUUCAAAAAUUACUCAAGUCACAACGACCUCGACUCCGCGACCUAGCACACGUGCUGGGUCUUCUGUCUGCAUCAAUUCAGGCUAUUUUUCCAGGGCCCUUGCAUUACAGAGCAAUGCAACGGCUGAAAACCUCCUAUUUACAUCGCUCGACCUCCUACGACCAAUUCAUUUCCCUAACGGACGAAGUUCUCAUCGAACUUCACUGGUGGCUUCGCAAUAUGGAAGCCUGGAAUGGGAAAGCGAUUUUCGGAUCUCAACCAGAUUUUAUUCUGGAAUCCGAUGCCAGCCUACUCGGUUGGGGCGCUACGUGCGCCCAAUCAUACACAGGAGGUCUCUGGUCCCCGUCGGAACAAGCACUUCACAUAAAUUGUCUCGAGCUCAUUGCCGGAUCCUUCGCGAUCCGCAGCUUUGCCAAAGAAGCCUCCAACUGCUCUCUGGUACUUCGGAUGGACAACAUCUCCGCAGUACGAUAUGUAAACCGUCUCGGAGGGUCCAAAUCGAAACUACUGUCAGACCUCACCAAGGAUCUGUAUCAGUUUUGCUUAGACAGGAAUCUGUCUAUUCGGGCCGAGUAUCUCCCAGGACCCGACAAUUUAGUCGCGGACUGGUUCUCACGUCACUGGAGGGAUGCCAGCGAUUGGCAAUUAGAUCCUCUUCUAUUUCACCACAUUCACCUAUUGCGGGGACCGAUCACUCUCGACCUCUUCGCGUCUCGGCUGAAUCGUCAAACAGACGAUUAUUUCAGCUGGUUACCAGACCCUCUAUCCCUAGCUGUCGACGCUUUUCUCCAACAUUGGCCACGGGACGGAGCCUAUGCCUUCCCUCCCUUCUCCAUGAUUCAACGUACUCUCCACCAGGUCAAAUCACAGGGGGUCAAGAUUGUGAUAGUUACCCAGACGUGGUUACCCAGACGUCUGGCGGGCCCAGACGUGGUUCCCCACUCUUCUGGAGCUUUCCACAGACUACCCCAUCAUUCUACCUCGCUCACAUCGGGUUCUCAAGAACUCAACGGGCGACUACCAUCCACUAGCUCUACAGGGCCAUCUUCAGUUAGUGGCCUGGACAGUUUCAGGGGUGCUUGGCAUGUCGCAGGACUUUCAAGCACUGCUCAAACACUCCUAUGGGAUUCAUGGGCACCGGGAACCAGGCGCACCUAUCUCGCCGCAUGGCGAGUUUGGGUCAGCUGGUGUCUGGAGAGGGAUUUCGAUCCCGUUUCAACAUCUCUCUCAUCCAUUCUAAAUUUUCUAUCAUCCCUUUUCGAUCAGGGUAAAUCAUACCGCUCAAUUAAUGUUUUUCGUUCCGCCAUUUCGGCGGGACAUGACCCUAUUGAUAAUUCCUUAGUUGGGAAACAUCCUUCUGUGUGCAGACUUUUACGAGGCAUUCGUUUGACGAGGCCACCUUCUGCCAAAUACUCUGGCUUCUGGGACAUAUCUCGAGUCUUCGCAUUGUUAGAGUCCUGGCCUCCUAACGAGGCCUUAUCCCUUCGACAGCUCUCUGCAAAAUUGGCCCUGCUACUGUGGCUGGUGUCAUUCCGCAGAGUUUCUGACGUUCACGCUUUUGAUUCACACGCUGUCUCCUUCACACCAGAAGGGGUCCGAUUAAAGAUUACUAGGCGCACUAAGACGAAUUCCUCGUCUGUCUUUUACCCAUACUUUCCCGACAGGCCGGCUCUCUGUGUGGCUCUGUGUACUCGUUGUUACACAGAGGCAACUGCCGCCCUACGUUCUCCUACCGGUCCUCUUUUCAUUUCUUAUGUCAGACCUCACAAACCGGUCUCUUCCCCCACUAUCGCUCGCUGGAUAAGAUGGUUACUUAUCCAAGCGGGAAUCGAUAGAUCAUUUGGGGCCCAUUCGGUUAGGGGAGCGGCUGCUUCCUCUGCCUUUCGGGCCGGCAGUUCAUUAGCAGAUAUUUUGUCCUGCGCAGAUUGGUCAAGGGAAUCUACCUUUCGGACUUUUUAUUUUAAACCAACACAAACACAUGCGGCUUGUUCUAUUAUUCGAGAGCGUUAAAACAGCAAAUAUGAAGCCUCCUGUCUUGCCAUAAAAUUAGGGAUUAUUCUAGCUUUAGUGAACGAAUAAUCUGAAUUUUAUUAAAGACAGGAGGCGAAUAUUUUCCCUCCCUUCGUUCACUCCGGAACCCACCCUCGAGGUAAGUCUCAUAAUCACUAAUUAAUGUAUGAUACCAUUAUUUACAUACAAAUCUGCUAUAUACGAUUUGUUCAUCUUGUGGUCCUACACCUAUCUCAUAGAGUGCUGAUAGAUCUUUAUAAUUUCGAUUAUUCUGUCAAUUCGUAUGAACUAUAAUUGGAAAUAGGGGGUUCAACUAUAUAUAUUUUUUCUCUUGUCCGAGAAACCUUACUUUCACGAAGUCUCUUUUUUUCUUUUAGUGUGAAGAUCUCAAGUUUAUUCGAUCAACUUUCCGUUUACAUGGUUGACUUCAUCUCGAGUUUCAGCUUCGGGAACUGUUCCGG
rnacentral:lncRNA from 1 species